UACGGGGGGGGCAAGCGUUGUUCGGAAUUACUGGGCGUAAAGGGCUCGUAGGCGGCCAACUAAGUCGGAUGUGAAAUCCCCAGGCUCAACCUGGGAACUGCAUCCGAUACUGGAUGGCUUGAAUUCGGGAGAGGGAUGCAGAAUUCCAGGUGUAGCGGUGAAAUGCGUAGAUAUCUGGAGGAAUACCGGUGGCGAAGGCGGCAUCCUGGACCGACAUUGACGCUGAGGAGCGAAAGCCAAGGGAGCAAACGGG
rnacentral:rRNA from 1 species